UCCUUCUCUCUCGCCCAUCUCCACUCUCUGUUCGAUUCCGUGUUGCUCUUGGCCGAUUCAGAUCUUUUUUCUCUCUCUUUCCGAUUUAAACAAGCUGCAGCUUAUCAUGGCUGCGAUUAGGUAGGGGUUAUUGUAGAACAGCCCAAGAUUGCUAUUUGCUGCGUGGAUUCAUAAAUGUAAUUGUUUGGUUGCAAAGUACAGUAUUUUUUUAGCAUUUUCCGUGGUUUCUAAAACAACCUAGGUAUUAAAUACUUUCAAGUGUUUGGAUGGAAGGAAUACUGCAGUUGAAGAAGCUGUGGUAUUUCAGACACUGUGGUAAUUUUGGAGUAUCAAAACAACAACUAGCCCUGAACUCUUUAUUUUUAACCGGGCCCUGUGGUUUGAUUUGUUAUACAGUUUUCAUCCAAUUGAAUUUGGGUCUGCAUAGCCAGGGUUUGUCUGUCUGCCUGCCGGCCGACCUGGCCGACAUACACAACCCAUGGUGUCGAACAUGUCGCGUCAGUUCACUGAGCUGUGUACAUUCGAAUCGGUGAUGUUUCUGCGAAGAGUGAGAACUUGUAGAGCAGCGGCGAGCAAUCUCUUUGUUUUCCCUUGUCGUGUUCUAUUUCUUGUGGAGCAGCUUGGAAGGUUCUCUCCCUCUCUCUCGCCCAUCUGCGCUCUCUAUUCGGCUCCGUGUUGCUCUUGGCAGAUUCAGAUUUUUUUUCUCUCUCCCUCUUUCCGAUUUAAACAAGAUGGAGCUUAUAGUGGCUACGGUUAGGAGUAAUUGUGGAACAUCCCAAAAUUGCUAUUUGCUUCUUGCAUUCAUAAAUGGAAUUGUUUGGUUGCAAAGUACAGUAUAUUUUUUAUAUUCUGGGGAUACCGUGGUUUCUAAAAGAACCUAAGGGUAUUGAAUACUUUCAAGUGAUUGGAUGGAAAGAAUACUACAGGUUAAGAUGUGGUAUUUCAGAAACUGUGGUAAUUUUGGAGUAUUCAAACAACAACCCUGAACUCUUUAUUUUUAACCGAGUCUUGUGGUUUGAUCUGUUAUACAGAUUUCAUCCGAUUGAAUUUUGGUCUGCAUAGCUAGGGUUUUUCUGUCUGCCUGCCCGCCGACCUGAUCGAAGCAAUACUGUAGUUUAAGAAUGUCUGGUAUUUCAAAUACUGUUGUAAUUUUGGAGUAUUAAAACAACAAUCCUGAACCUCUUUAUUUUUAACCGAGCGUGGAGAAAAAACAUUGUCUUGUAUCCUCCAUGGCCAGCCGUUUUCUUCAUCUCAUCGCCUCUUCUCUAGCCAACAAUCCGUCUCCACAAUCAUGUAGAAACCAAGCAAUGGUGUUGAACGAAAGGAACCUUUGUGGUUUGAUUUCUUAUACAUAUUUCAUCCUAUUGAAUUGGGUCUGCAUAGCUAGGGUUUCUCUGUACGCCUGCGCGUUGACCGGGUCGACAUACACAAUGCGCAUGGUGUCUGACAUGUCGCCAUCAGUUUACUGAGCGCGUGAAUUUGAAUCGGUGAGUGAGAACUUGUAGAGCAGCGGCGAGCCAUCCUUUUGUUUUCCCUUGACGUGUUCUGUUUCUUGUAAAGCAGCUUGUAGCUGCAGCACGACCAGCAAUGGUCUGGCGCGUGGUGGCCGGAGGCCAAGUAACCUCAAUGGAUUGUGAUGUGUACGUCCAGCAUACAAGCUACAAAUUAUGUCUCUCAGUUCCAUAGGCAUAUGUAAGUGUGCGCCUGGUGCUCUGAGCCCUAUAAGGUUGACAGCGGCAACCAGGCGUCCUGAAUUCGGACGCCAAGCUGGAUGGAUCACACCGGAGGUCUCUUCCUCAGUCAUUUGGUGUGCUUUGCUACAGCUGGAAGAGACCGACGAACUGAAGCCACCGGGAGAUCUAUAGAAGUAACCCAGAAAGAGUUGUGCAGAUCUUCGAGAGCCAGCCUUCGUUGCAUAACAACUCUCCCACUAUGAGAAGGCUCUUGUCACUCUCGACAGGCUGGAUGAAAGCCCUCGCUUAAAACAUUGUAGAGAGGAAUUGCUAAUUCGGCAAGGGAUGGAGAAGGGAAUAGUGGCAUCACAUCAUUUCAAAGUGUUGGACGUACGUAUGCCAAAAGAUGGGGCUCUUGGUAGAGCAAAGCGUAUACGGGGCAAUGGACGCCUGCGUGGCGGCAUUUGAGACUGAGUGGGCUGCAAGACCACAACUGGGUCCCAUGUAAGUGCGCCUCUGGUGCCCUAAGCCAUACAAGGUAGACAACGGUGACCACGUGUCAUGAAGGCGGACACCAAGCUGGAUGUAUCACACCAUGGUACUCUUCCUCAGUAAUUUGGUGUGCUUUGCUACAGCUGGAAGAGAUAGAUCCGUUGGAGCCAGGGGGAGAUAUACAGAAGUAACCCAGAAAGAGUCAUGCAGAUCUUUGAGAGCGAGCCUUCGCUGCAUAACAACUAUCCCAGUAUGUGAAGGGUCUUGUCACUCUCGAGAGGCUAGAUGACAGCCCGCUGCCUAAAACAUUGCAGACAGAUCAAAACACGCAAGAAUUGCUAAUUCGGCAAGGGGUGGAGAAGGGCAUAGUGGCAUCUCAGUAUUUCAAAGUGUUGGACGUAUGCCAAAAGAUGGGGCUCUAGGUAUAGCAAGGCGUAUACGGGGCAAUGGACGCUGGCGUGGCGGCGUUCGAGACCGAGUGGGCAAAAAGACCACAACUGGAUGUGAAGCAUGACAGUGACAGUGGAGGGCCGGCUUGCUUCCAGCGCCAAUGACGCGGUGGGGUUGUCGUCCCGUAACACAACGCCGGCUCCCACGACUGACUCGGCUAGCACUGCUUAGAUGUGAAGCAUGACGGUGACAGUGGUGCGCCUCCUUGCUUCCGGCCCCGAUGAGAUAGCGGGGUUGACGCCCUGUAACCUUGGCGUCGCCUCCCACGACUGUCUCAUCUAUCACUACUAGGCCAGGCCACUACAGGAGAGGUGUGUCGAUGACCCGUGACUAUUCCGACUCACUUGAAGGACGGACUGGUGAACCCGCAUCAUCGGUGAUGAGUACUAGCUUAGAUUCAUCAGCUUACUUACCGGUGUAGGUGAAGGUGAAGCUAUUCUUGUCAGGUCAGCAACCACUGCUAGAGGGAUCAGGAUGGUGUGUUGGACUGGAGCUCCAUCGCCACUCAAAAUCGCGAGCGGCUGUGCAUGAGCAGACUGUCGUCAAGGGCCUGGAAGGAGAUGCUUCCUCCGUCUGCUGCUGCUCGGGCAUGGAGCUUCCAAGCCUAUCAGGAAGGAUGAAGGGCUAAGAUCUACCCUCUGGAAGGAAAGAGGAAGAGGCCACGGGCGACAGAGAAAUCCCCCAUCCUCGGCUGCUCUUCCAAGUCUGAAGGUUGAGAGCCUGAUGGACAAGAGCGAGCUGGAUGCUCAGCCAGAGCUAUUCAUCCACAAUGUCCCUCACAAGGAGGUUUGAGAGCCUGACGGACAAGAGCGAGCUGGAUGCUCAGCCAGAGCUAUUCAUCCACAAUGUCCCUCACAAGGCCACGACCACACUCACGAAUAUGAACAGUGGUAUUUGUAUGUCCAAGUCAUACCUCGUGAACAACCUUGGUACCAUUGCAAGGUCUGGCACGAGGUAUUUCAUGGAGGCCCUAGCUAUUGGUGUGUGGUGUCCAUGAUUCGUCAGUUUGGUGUUGGUUCUACUAUGCUUACCUUGUUGCUGAGAGAGUUGUUGCGACCAGCAAGCACAACGACAAUGAGCACUAUGUUUGGGAGUCCCAGACUAGUGGCUUCUUCGCUGUGAUAUGUGAUACUGCUGGAGAGCCCCUAUGGAGGGGUACUAACAUCAACCUCUACCUCAAGGACGAUCAGGCGUUGGAUAAGAUCAGGUUUGAGAGCCUGACUGACAAGUGCAAGCGAUGCUCCCAUGUCCGUGAUGCGACACCUCCGGCUCGGCAUCACGGCCGGCGGGCACGGGCUCUUCAAGAGCAUGCUCCAAAACCGCGGCUUUGAGCUGGCCACUACCAAGGAAGGGCUCCCGGUGCGCCGGUGCUCGCGCGGCGGACGUCAGCCUAGGAGGAGGAAGGGUACGUCUGCUGCUUCCUCCUCCUUGUUCUACGCACAGUACAGGGCUAAUAUUGGAGAAGAGAUAUGUUGGUUGAACACCAAAGAUGUUGACUAUCCCCUGAAGCUUCUGUGGAUUCACAUCGACAUGAUACUCUACUGCUCUCUAAAGAUCUUAUGUUUUAGCUUCCUAGGCUGGGAUACAUCAUUAUACAUCUUCUAUGGGUCGUGAAGCUAAGGAGAGCUGAUCUAAUUCUUACAUGGUCCCAGUCGAAUACUGUAAGUGGUUCAAAGGCGUCAACAUUUGCACACGUGUCAACCGACAAGAACAUGAAAUACACCGUCCUGGCGGGCACCCUCUCCAGCCUGCGCGCCCAGGGCUGGUACCUCCUGUCAAAGCCAACAAGAUGGGAGGUCGUUAACUAAUUGGGUUCUAUGGACGUCGGGGCUCGCAGACCAAGGACCGAUUUGGAGCUCCUCUCUGCAACCGCAGGAGAUCAUAGGUGAAGGGGCAAAACCCUUGAAGUCGUCGUUUGUUGCACGCAGAGGACUCGAUAUGCUCAAGAGCCAUGUGGAGAUUGUUGUCAAGUUGAAGUGGCUCAACAUUUAGACCAUCUAGUAAGUCAUACACUACAUGGUGUGAUGAUCUACACAUGGGAGUACAUCACUAGCGAGUCGGCGCCCCUGCCCUGCCCCUCUCGUGGGCGCUUCUUCUUUGACUCCGGCAUAGGACAUCAUUGCUAAAGGGAAAGAAGAAAACCUGGAAGUUAUGGUUGUUGCAGGCUGAUGGAAGUCAAAAUGCUCAAGAGCCAAACGUGGGAACUGUUGUCACGUUGAAGUGGCUCGACAUUUAGGCCAUCCAGUAAGUAAUACACUGCACAGGGAGAUGAUCUGCAUGGGGGAGUACAUCACCAGCGAGUCGGCGCCCCCGGCCUGCCCCUCUAGUGGGUGCUUCUUAUUUGACUCCGACAUAGAGAUCAUUGCUAAAGGGGGAAAGAACAACCUGUAAGUCAUGGUUGCUGCAAGGCCGAGGGAACUCGAAAUGCUCAAGAACCACGUGGGCGCAUGAUCGAGUACAAGAAGUGCUACAUAAAGGCCAUGGACAUGCUUUAAAAACCAGGCAGCACCGCGAUUGCUGAACUAGUAGAGCUUGGCCGCCGACAAAUAUCAGAGUAUAUGAGGUGCAUCUUGAACAGUGCAUGGAGAUCAUUGCUGAAGGGAAAUAAGAGAACCUGCAAGUCGUGGUUGUUACAGGCCGAGGGUAGUCCAUAUGCUCAAGAGCCAAACGUGGGAUUGUUGUCAAGUUGAAGUGGCUCAACAUUUAGAGAGUUUUAGACCAUCCAGCAAGUUGUAGACUGCGCGGUGUGAAGAUCUGGGCUGUUUAGGAAGAAAAUUUGAGGGAAGUCCCUAAUUAAUUGGUCAAUGGCACAAGUGAAGUUAACUGUGAACUUGUGCUAAUGUAGUGUA